UAAAUAAAAGAGACAAAUAAAGUAAAAAUAAAUAGAAAUGGGCCUUGGGGGUAUGAUCCGGAAUUUAUGGUGUUUGAGGAAGUAAUAGCACUGCUGGCCCAAAGCUAAGGCCCAAAAUCCAAACCGUCUAUGGAAAGGGAGGUGUUACACGGAUCUGAGGUGAUGAUUGGUAAAACGAAUGGCCUGAGGCCCAUAUAAAAAAUCCACACAAAUAGGAGGCACCAAGCCACCCUCACUCAGAAUGAAACCAGGCUCUCCAUAAUCUCCCCGUCUCCGCCGUGCCAGAGCUCUUUGCCGGCGACGGCGGAGCUCCUAUACAACAAAACACCUCAAUCUCCUUGCCUUACCUCCCGAUCACAAAUCCUUCCACCAAAUCCUCUCAAACCCAAAAGUGGAGCUAAAUAGAAGAAGGAAAACAAACGAAAAUUAUUGGGCAAAACACGAUGAAACAUGCAACAAGCUAAGGGAUAAAGCUCCUCCGAUGAAACGAGCUCACGGCGGAAAGACGGGGGAAACAAAGCUCCGACGCGGAGACCUCGGCGAAUCAAAGACAAAGGUAUGCACCGAUACUCUCUUCUCUCUUUCACGCUUCAUUCUUCUUCUUCUAUGCUGUUGUUGUGUUGUUGUCUUUCAAUUCCAAAUUAUACUGAGCUGGUGCACCAGGUAGUUGAUGAGUUGUGAAUUGGCUUGCUUCAUUGGUUUUUGUUCACUUAAUUUGCUAUUAUUUAUGAGCUAAAAUGUGCUGUUUCAAAAUGUAGUUAAUUAAAUUUGUUGGCAAAUAUUGGUUUCCAAUCAGUUCUGCUGUGAUGCGUUUGGUUAAGUCUGGCCCUAUUUUUGUUUAGCUAUGUGCUUAUGUGAAUCUAUUAAUGUUAGGAUUUCUGUUAGUGAGCUAUUAGUAAAAAAAGAAUGUUAGCAUAAUGGUAAAUGUGAUGUGAUGAAUUGUAUUGUUGUUGUUGCAGGUUCAGGUUCGUUAAACUUGGUUGAUUACUUGUGAACUAUCAUGGGCUUACGAUGGUUGGGUUGCAAGUUCAUGUAUGUGAAGGUUUACUGCUGCGAAAAACUGGUUAUGAAAUAGUGGUUUGGGCUGGUUUUGAAUGAAAUCAGUGUGAUGUACAUGAUUCUUGGAGGUGCCCCAUGAGGAUGAUGAUGGCCCAAAGUUCCUUUUCAAUUGUUCCAUGUAAAUGCUAAUUGUCAUGAUAAUGGGAUGUAAUAGAAUUAAUAUUGUAAAUGUAAUGCAACCUUGUAUCCAUGUUCUAUUAGCAAAAUUUUUGAGAUUAAACUAUUAAUUAACUUAACACAUAAAGGAAGAGUCGUCACCGCACUUUUAUUAUUUUUAAAGGAAAAGGGAAAA
rnacentral:lncRNA from 1 species